GAUGAACGCUAGCGGGAGGCUUAACACAUGCGAGCCGAGGGGUAUAGUUCUUUCGGGAACUAGAGACCGGCGCACGGGUGCGUAACGCGUAUGCAACUUGCCCUACUGAAAAGGAUAGCCCUUCGAAAGGAGGAUUAAUACUUUAUAACAGAUUUAAUGGCAUCAUUAGAUUUUGAAAGAUUUAUCGCAGUAGGAUAGGCAUGCGUAAGAUUAGUUAGUUGGUGAGGUAACGGCUCACCAAGACGAUGAUCUUUAGGGGGCCUGAGAGGGUGAACCCCCACACUGGUACUGAGACACGGACCAGACUCCUACGGGAGGCAGCAGUGAGGAAUAUUGGACAAUGGGUGGAAGCCUGAUCCAGCCAACCCGCGUGUAGGAUGACGGCCUUAUGGGUUGUAAACUACUUUUAUCUGGGGAUAAACCUACUUACGUGUAAGUAGCUGAAGGUACCAGAAGAAUAAGCACCGGCUAACUCCGUG
rnacentral:rRNA from 1 species